GACGAACGCUGGCGGCGUGCCUAACACAUGCAAGUCGAACGGAGUCGGCCCCGCAAGGGACUGACCUAGUGGCGAACGGGUGAGUAACGCGUGAGCAACCUGCCUUUCAGUGGGGGACAACAGUUGGAAACGACUGCUAAUACCGCAUAAUGCAUUUUGACCGCAUGAUCGAGAUGCCAAAGAUUUAUUGCUGAAAGAUGGGCUCGCGUCUGAUUAGAUAGUUGGUGAGGUAACGGCCCACCAAGUCGACGAUCAGUAGCCGGACUGAGAGGUUGAACGGCCACAUUGGGACUGAGAUACGGCCCAGACUCCUACGGGAGGCAGCAGUGGGGAAUAUUGGGCAAUGGGGGAAACCCUGACCCAGCAACGCCGCGUGAAGGAAGAAGGCUUUCGGGUUGUAAACUUCUUUUACCAGGGACGAAGAAAGUGACGGUACCUGGAGAAAAAGCCACGGCUAACUACGUG
rnacentral:rRNA from 1 species